AAACCUAACCAAACCUAGAAAACGCUUUUACUUGUGAAACAGUCGAAUUGUUGAAUCUUAACUAAGAUUGUUUUAAAAAGCAUAAUGAGGAUAUUGGCCUUCAGGACCUCACUGAAGAACAAUUUGACCGUUGAACUCGGAACAGUGGGAAAUAUCCCAGUCAGCUCCUCUUGCUGGCCAUCAAGCGGCCGGACUGCGAAGUGCAGCAUUGAGCGCAGCAUCCCUGCCAUCUCCGGUCUCUUCCUUUCCUCCCUCUCUCUCCAACCGUCGCCGGGAGCAGUGUGUGUGUGCGUGUGUGUGUGCUGGUAUAAUCUGACAGCACUCUGGGGCUGCGUUUCCUAAGAAAAGCUCAGCUCUCUCAGUUUUCUGCCCGUCUUAUUGCCGCUCUCAUUGUCUUUGUCGACAGUGAUAAAGAGAGCAGUUCAACCAGGGGCCUGUUUUUGGAAUAAGAAAAGCAUUGCUGUUUUCUGACUUUGAGGGAAGAAAGAAGGGACUCCUCUGGAAUUUCCUAAGGAAUUUAUUCGGACAGCUCCGUUACCGGGGCUUUGCAUUCUACCGCCUGGGUAUAUAGUGGGAUGCCACGGAAAUUCACUCAGCCCUGACACCCCAGUGGUUCUUAAAAUGUCAAAACAGAUGUAACCAACUAUUCCACUUUAGGGAGAUUCCGAGGAGUUUUCUUCUUUCAUCACUCUGGUCCGAGGCAGCAAUCGCAAUUGGUUAUUCCAAACGGGUGGGGGCAAAGGGGG